rnacentral:rRNA from 1 species
AGUGGGGCGAAUUAGCGGGACCGCCGCAGUUAAUGCGGAGGAAGGGGGGGGCCACGGCAGGUCAGUAUGCCCCGAAACUCUGGGGCCACGCGCGGGCUGCAAUGGUAGUGACAAUUGGUUCCGAAUCCGAAAGGAGGAGGUAAUCCUCAAACACUACCACAGUUAUGACUGAGGGCUGCAACUCGCCCUCACGAAUAUGGAAUCCCUAGUAACUGCGUGUCAUUAUCGCGCGGUGAAUAC